rnacentral:rRNA from 1 species
GGCGAUCGGGUGAGUAACACGUGAGUAACCUGCCCUUGACUCUAGGAUAAGCCCGGGAAACUGGGUCUAAUACUGGAUAGGAACGUCUACCGCAUGGUGGAUGUUGGAAAGAAUUUCGGUCAUGGAUGGACUCGCGGCCUAUCAGCUUGUUGGUGAGGUAAUGGCUCACCAAGGCGACGACGGGUAGCCGGCCUGAGAGGGUGACCGGCCACACUGGGACUGAGACACGGCCCAGACUCCUACGGGAGGCAGCAGUGGGGAAUAUUGCACAAUGGGCGAAAGCCUGAUGCAGCGACGCCGCGUGAGGGAUGACGGCCUUCGGGUUGUAAACCUCUUUCAGUAGGGAAGAAGCGAAAGUGACGGUACCUGCAGAAGAAGCACCGGCUAACUACGUGCCAGCAGCCGCGGUAAUACGUAGGGUGCGAGCGUUAUCCGGAAUUAUUGGGCGUAAAGAGCUCGUAGGCGGUUUGUCGCGUCUGUCGUGAAAGUCCGGGGCUUAACCCCGGAUCUGCGGUGGGUACGGGCAGACUAGAGUGCAGUAGGGGAGACUGGAAUUCCUGGUGUAGCGGUGGAAUGCGCAGAUAUCAGGAGGAACACCGAUGGCGAAGGCAGGUCUCUGGGCUGUAACUGACGCUGAGGAGCGAAAGCAUGGGGAGCGAACAGGAUUAGAUACCCUGGUAGUCCAUGCCGUAAACGUUGGGCACUAGGUGUGGGGAACAUUCCACGUUUUCCGCGCCGCAGCUAACGCAUUAAGUGCCCCGCC